CAACCUGUCUGUAUUUCAAUGUAGAUCUUUAAACGAAAAAAUGGAAAAAGGAAUUUCAAAAAAACAAAAUCGGACCGUUAUUUGAUUUUGGUUUUGUCAUUUUUCGUUUUUGGAUUCAGAACCAAAAAACGGGAGAACGGCUCUUUUUUUACCGUUUCUUUGUUUUUGGUUUGAAACGACAAACGAAAAACAGGUGGUUUCUCGUUAUUUUGUUUUGUGUUUCAAAACGAAAAAAACAAACUAUCACAAACGUACACGGACCCCUAUACGUGAUACUGCCUUUCACUUUCACUUAUCGGGCCAACACCCUAUAUUCUCCAUAGAACCUGCGUUCAUUUUUUAGUGGAAAAGUGGUGAAAAUGAAGGUCCCUGAAUUGCUCGGAGUGUGUGCACUCUUCCUGUCUGCUGUUUCCAGUGAUGGUGAAGAAGUCGUGUCAGUGCCUGUGUCUGUGGAGGGAGAUCCAGUCACUAUAAACACUGAUGUGACAGUAACCCCACAACAAAGAAUUAAAUGGUUUUAUAAUGACACUCGCAUCGCUCAAAUAAAUGGAGGUCAGAGUUUGAUCUGUACAGAUGUUCAGUGUAAUAAUGGCACUGAGAGAUUCAGAGACAGACUGAAGCUGGAUCAUCAGAACUGGAUCUCUGACCAUCAUGAACUCAAGGACCACAGACUCUGGACUUUAUAGACUACAGAUCAGCAGCAGAAUCAGUAACAAGAUCUUCAAUGUUACAGUCAUUGGUACAUCUGGUGCGGAUAGAGACGUGUGUGUGAUAGAGGGAUAUUCAGUCACUCUAUACACUGAUGUAAAAACAAACCAAAAUGACAGAAUUAAAUGGUAUUUUUAUGACACUCGCAUCGCUCAAAUCACUGGAGAUCUCAGUAAGAUAUGUCAGAGUUUUCAGUGUAAUGAAGGUACUGAGAGAUUCAGAGACAGACUGAAGCUGGACAAUCAGACUGGAUCUCUGACCAUCAUGAACAUCAACACCACAGACUCUGGACUUUAUAAACUACAUAUCAUCAAAAGCAGCAGCGCCAGCAGCAGUGAAAAGAACUUCAAUAUUACUGUCCUUGGUGAGUCAUUUAACAUUUAAAAUUAACGUUUAAAACCGUAAUUUGUUUAGACACAAGUCCCACACUAAAAAUAACCAAAACAGUUAAGAAUUAAGGUUACACUGGAUAUUUCAAAAGAAUAUAAGCAUUAUGGAUAUACUGAUAUUUAUAUACAAACUCCUAUUUAUUAAGA